UGUUCUACGCGUUCGAAAGCUUGAGACGUGAGGAUUCGAUCGCGUCUUUUGAUCUUCCAGGAUGUUGCUUAAGACGAAUCGUCAUGAGGAAUCUCUGGUCGAGUUUCAUUGGCGUCGUUUCGUAUGAGAUUCUUCUCCUCUGUAACCUACGGGUCCAUUGAAGUCUCCCUUAGCAACCAUCUUUACUUCUUCGACCACAACAGGCACGAUCAAUCAUUCAAAGCGUAUUCUCUCUUGGAUAACACCUAUAAAAAAAGUCAGCCUUCUUCCAGGUUCUUGCUUGGCUCAACGGCGGUGAUGGAAGUAUGGUGAAUCGAGAGUGGUUCGGGCAGGACGACGGGUUCGGCUUAAAGCUCUAACGAGGCGAUGCUGAUAAUAGUGACAUCAAAUUAUUUCGGCGACCUACUCUGAAAAUUACCAGUGAACCUUCUGAUGUAUCUACAGGUUAAAAAUGACAUCUCACCUUCGGAAGCGCCCGUCUUGGAAUGAGAAUUUUUGCAUCAACGGUUCUGGUGGUUAUAUAAUACAGGUAUUGUUGAGGGGGCUCAGAGCGAGCAAGAGAAUGGUCUCGGGUUUGUUAAGCUGUGGGUCUUUACAGUGGUUUCAUAGCGAUGUAUGCUACAUAAGCUAGCAGAGAUGUCGAUUGAUACCUAACCUCCUGAGUCAGCAUUUUAUCUCGAAGGAAAAGGUGGAUCUUGGAGUUCAUUGAGAAACAGAUCAAGUUGAAUGGUCACAUGGUGAUUGUUCUUGCUGAAGAACAGGGAAAGAGUUGAUGUGCAAAAGCAUGGAAUCUAACAGACGCCUCUGAUAACAAGCUUCUUAAAGAUGUCACUUCUGGCUACCACAAAGCAUCAAGGAUCAUUUUAAGAAGAUUAGCAUGGUGAUGAAUCUCAAAUACGUAGAUCCUGCGUACAUGAUUCGGACUGUUUCUACCAAUGCAUCAAACACUGUUUACUUUAGGCUUCUUGCUCAGAGCGUUGUUCAUGGUGCAGUGGCAGGUUACACUAGCUACAUCAGUAGUCUUAUCAAUAGAAGACAAACAUACA